rnacentral:lncRNA from 1 species
AAAAAAAAAAAAAGCAGUGCAUGUUGCCUCUUCUAUUCAGGCUGUGACCAAAGGUUUCAAUGGUAAAGAUGACUCAUACCUUAAAGAACUAGAAGAAUUUUUUUGUGGCUUCUCUAUCCAUUGUCUUGCUCUCAUAAAACUGCUGAAUGACACCCAAGUGUAAAACCCACCAAAGAAAUAAGCGCUGGAUGACAUGUGGCAGAUUUUCCAACUCUCCAGGAAAAACUUCAGAUCAACUUGUUUCUCUGGAAACUACUCACAUCCGGGGGCUGUCCCUGUCCCCUGGGACUCAUAAACGUUCCUAUCUUCAAGGCACAGUUUAUUUUUUCCUUUAGUUUUCGAGUCUACAAAGAACAAUUUAACCGCAUUUGUUGCUGGC